CUGUCUCUCCUCAUGUCCUCACUUCUCUCUCUUUAUCUCCACAGCCUGUUUGGUUGUGGUCUCACCUCCAGAUGUUGCUCAGCUCUCUCCUCAGCUCUUUCUUCUCCGCACUCACGACUGACUGAACUGAACCUGAACGAAAACAACAUGGAGGACUCAGGAGUGGAUCAGCUGUUUGAGUUGCUGAGGAGUGAAAACUGCAAAUUAGAGAAACUGAAACUUAACACAAAACCUGCCUGACUUGACUUUGGACUUCGAAGUGAAGAGGAGAAGAAAAAGGAGAAGAAGUGAGAGAUGGAAAUAAAUAGAAGGAGAGCAGUGACAGGGCGUCACCACCAGAGGGCAGAGCUGAGCAGAGCAGAGGACUUGGGGACCUGCAGGUUUGGUGACGUCUGUGUGACUGAUGGCCUUUGGUGUGCACUCAUAAUUUGAACCCAAGUCCAUUGACUUUAACAUUUUGUUUGAAUAUUUCUGGUAUCAUUUGUAAAGCCUUGUAAAGACCCCACCAUCUUUAUUCCACCCCCUUAUUGUCCACUGGCCUUUUCUGACUUUUUUAAACAGAUGUCAUUGAAAAGGCAGGACAUAAAGAAAUGAGCUGCUGUUGUGACAAAUUCAAACUGUGAGGACACAAACAUGUCACUCUUGUGACCCCCACACGUCCUGUGAAAUCAGCUGAUAAAGUGCUGCGGAUUUUCUUUGCUGUCAUUUUGGUCAAAUCACUUAUGGGCAGAGCUGAGAAUGGACAGCAGUGGUCAGCGGUCAUGGCGGUCUCUUCACAGUCCACUCAGACCACCUCUGUGUCCACUGGACUGGACUUUGUGAUGCUGACAGUCCAUUUGAAGCUCGUCCUCCUGCUUUAUUACAAACUAGUAGAAGAAAUAAGAAAACUGAGUUUAGCACCACUGAGGUGUUUAGUGGAAAAAGGUCAGCUGGUCAGUGUCACCAGUCAGUAUGUGAGGUCUGAGUGGCCUAGGACAGAAGUGUCACAUGUCAGUCUUAUCCUCCAUGUCCAUUAUGUCAUCACUCCUAAACUCAGCUCCAGUGUUUGUCUUUUUAAACCAACAGAGUGUCAUUGUCAUUAUCGAAUUACUGUGACAUGAGGAGUGUCCAUCAGGACAAACAGCUGAGUGUUAAGCUCUGCAGUGACCAGAAUGUCUAACAGUUGUCUUUACAUGAUGUCCUACAAAUCAGACAAACUGUCUACACAUCCUAAGUCCUGAAUGACAAAAAGAAAUCCCACUUUGUCACAAUCCCCCCCCCAUUGUCACCUUCUACAAGUCCAUGUGGCCUCUCCAGUGCAGGAUGCUGUCAGUCUCAUUUCUUUGAGGUUCAUCUCCAAUAUUAAUGUCCUUGUGUCCGUUUCAAUGACUGCUCACCUGUCAGUACAGCAGGAAGGCAGGAGACCCUCUCAGGUGUUUAGUGCCUUACUUAUAAGAACAGCGAUGGUCUUGGGUUCAAACAGGCUCAGUAUAAAAGUAAAAAUGCCAGCAGUCAUUGAGUCUUUGAGCUCUGUGGCCUUCUAUCUGUCUGUCCCUCCUCAUGUCCUCACUUCUCUUUCUUUAUCUCCACAGCCUGUCUUUUUGUGGUCUCACCUCCAGAUGUUGCUCAUCUCCCUCCUCAGUCCUCUCUUCUCCACACUCACAGCUGACUGAACUGCACCUGAGCAACAACAAACUGAGAGAUUCAGGAGCUUGUCAGCUGUGUGAGGGUCUGCGGAACCCAAACUGUAAAUUAAAGACACUGAUGGCUGGUUGAUAAUGAGAUCAGUGAGAGUGAGGAGAAGAACCUGAGGUCACUACAGAAGAAACUGAACAGGAGUGGACGGCAAGUGAAUAUCUACACAGAAGACUGAAAAUGCUGAUCAACUGACCCCAGUGAUGGUGCCCCCUGUCCAUUUCUUCUAAAUUCUUCUCUUUAUUCUUUUAUAAUCCCUUCAGCUCUCCUCCACAUUUAAUAAACUCUCCAUGUCUUCUUCUCA